AUAUACGGAAAACAUGCAGAGAUGUAUGGUCCGAAAGGGCCGUAUACAGGUGGUGCAUGGUUGUCGUCAGCUCGUGUCGUGAGAUGUUGGGUUAAGUCCCGCAACGAGCGCAACCCUCGUUCUAUGUUGCCAGCGGUUCGGCCGGGGACUCAUAGGAGACUGCCGUGGUCAACACGGAGGAAGGUGGGGAUGACGUCAAAUCAUCAUGCCCCUUAUGUCUAGGGCUGCACGCGUGCUACAAUGGCUGGUACAAAGGGCUGCGAUACCGCAAGGUGGAGCGAAUCCCAAAAAGCCAGUCUCAGUUCGGAUUGGGGUCUGCAACUCGACCCCAUGAAGUUGGAGUCGCUAGUAAUCGCAGAUCAGCAAUGCUGCGGUGAAUACGUUCCCGGGCCUUGUACACACCGCCCGUCACGUCACGAAAGUCGGUAACACCCGAAGCCGGUGGCCUAACCGUAAGGAAGGAGCCGUCGAAGGUGGGAU
rnacentral:rRNA from 1 species